rnacentral:rRNA from 1 species
UGAAUACGAGACGCUAAGGCGUCGAAGUAGUGUAUGUCAUACUUCCAAGAAAAGCUUGCACUGUCAUAGAUAAAAAACGCCUGUACCAUAACCGACACAGGUGGGUAGGUAGAGUAUACUAAGGGGCGCGAGAUAACUCUCUCUAAGGAACUCGGCAAAAUAACUCCGUAACUUCGGGAGAAGGAGUGCCUUAUUCGUAAGGUUGCAAUAACAAGAUCCAAGCAACUGUUUAUCAAAAACACAGGUCUCCGCUAAGUCGUAAGACGAUGUAUGGGGGCUGACGCCUGCCCAGUGCCAGAAGGUUAAAGAAGUUGGUUAGCAAUUGCGAAGCUGAUAACUGAAGCCCUGGUGAACGGCGGCCGUAACGAUAACGGUCCUAAGGUAGCGAAAUUCCUUGUCGGGUAAGUUCCGACCCGCACGAAAGGCGUAAUGAUUUGGAUACUGUCUCGGAGAGGGGCUCGGUGAAAUAGACUUGUCUGUGAAGAUGCAGACUACCUGCACCAGGACAGAAAGACCCUAUGAAGCUUUACUGUAACUUGAAAUUGAAAUUGGACUUUAUUCGCGCAGUAUAGGUGGGAGGCGUUGAUUAUAAUCUUGCGGGAUUAUUGGAGCCAUCAGUGAGAUACCACUCUUGUAAUGUUAGAUUUCUAACUUUGAAUCAUUAUCUGGUCAAAGAACAGUUUCAGGCGGGCAGUUUGACUGGGGCGGUCGCCUCCUAAACGGUAACGGAGGCGUACAAAGGUUUCCUCUGAACGGUUAGAAAUCGUAUCUAGAGUGUAAAGGCAUAAGGAAGCUUGACUGUGAGACCUACAAGUCGAGCAGGGACGAAAGUCGGUCUUAGUGAUCUGACGGUACUGAGUGGAAAGGCCGUCACUCAACGGAUAAAAGUUACUCUAAGGAUAACAGGCUGAUCUCCCCCAAGAGUUCACAUCGACGGGGAGGUUUGGCACCUCGAUGUCGGCUCAUCGCAUCCUGGGGCGGUAGUACGUCCCAAGGGUUGGGCUGUUCGCCCAUGAAAGCGGUACGCGAGCUGGGUUCAGAACGUCGUGAGACAGUUCGGUCCAUAUCCGGUGUAGGCGUUAGAAUAUUGAGAGGAGCCUUCUUUAGUACGAGAGGACCGAGAAGGACAUACCUCUGGUGUACCAGUUAUCGUGCCAACGGUAAACGCUGGGUAGCUAUGUAUGGAGUGGAUAACCGCUGAAAGCAUCUAAGUGGGAAGCCCACCUCAAGAUAAGUAUUCUC